CCUGUCCCUUGUUAACCCUCGUUUACUUUUGUAUUUAGUCUCUGUGUGUUCCUUGUCUUGUGUUGGAUUGUUGUAUUGUUGUUUAUGUUUGUGUGGGUU